rnacentral:rRNA from 1 species
CUACGGGCGGCUCCAGUGAGGAAUAUUGCACAAUGGGGGGAACCCUGAUGCAGCAACGCCGCGUGGAGGAUGACGCAUUUCGGUGUGUAAACUCCUUUUAUAUGUCAAGAAAAUGACGGUAGCAUAUGAAUAAGCACCGGCUAACUCCGUGCCAGCAGCCGCGGUAAUACGGAGGGUGCAAGCGUUACUCGGAAUCACUGGGCGGAAAGGACGCGUAGGCGGGUUGGAAAGUCAGGUGUGAAAUCCUACAGCUUAACUGUAGAACUGCACUUGAAACUUCUAAUCUAGAGUAUGGGAGGGGGAGAUGGAAUUAGUGGUGUAGGGGUAAAAUCCGUAGAUAUCACUAGGAAUACCUAAAGCGAAGGCGAUCUCCUGGAACAUUACUGACGCUAAGGCGUGAAAGCGUGGGGAGCAAACAGGAUUAGAUCCCCUCGUAGUC